rnacentral:rRNA from 1 species
GUCCUAGCCGUAAACGAUGGGUACUAGGUGUAGGGGGUAUCGACCCCCCCUGUGCCGGAGUUAACGCAAUAAGUACCCCGCCUGGGGACUACGGUCGCAAGACUGAAACUCAAAGGAAUUGACGGGGCCCGCACAAGCGGUGGAGUAUGUGGUUUAAUUCGACGCAACGCGAAGAACCUUACCAAGGCUUGACAUUGAGUGAAAGAUCUAGAGAUAGAUUCCUCUCUUCGGAGACACGAAAACAGGUGGUGCAUGGCUGUCGU